rnacentral:rRNA from 1 species
CCUACGGUGGCAGCAGUGGGGAAUAUUGGACAAUGGGCGAAAGCCUGAUCCAGCCAUGCCGCGUGUGUGAAGAAGGCCUUCGGGUUGUAAAGCACUUUCAGUGGGGAAGAAAGCCUUGGGGCUAAUACCCUCGAGGAAGGACAUCACCCACAGAAGAAGCACCGGCUAACUCCGUGCCAGCAGCCGCGGUAAUACGGAGGGUGCGAGCGUUAAUCGGAAUUACUGGGCGUAAAGCGCGCGUAGGCGGUCUGAUAAGCCGGUUGUGAAAGCCCCGGGCUCAACCUGGGAACGGCAUCCGGAACUGUCAGGCUAGAGUGCAGGAGAGGAAGGUAGAAUUCCCGGUGUAGCGGUGAAAUGCGUAGAGAUCGGGAGGAAUACCAGUGGCGAAGGCGGCCUUCUGGACUGACACUGACGCUGAGGUGCGAAAGCGUGGGUAGCAAACAGGAUUAGAUACCCCUGUAGUC